UAGUCUCUAUCGAGGUUAAAGGUGCCUGUACCGCAAACCGACACAGGUGGGUGAGGAGAGUAUCCUAAGGCCAGCCAGAGAACUGUUGCUAAGGAACUCGGCAAAAUGACCCCGUAACUUAGGGAGAAGGGGUGCCUUCGAAAGAAGGCCGCAGAGAAUAGGCCCAAGCGACUGUUUACCAAAAACAUAGGUUUCUGCUAAGUCGCAAGACGAUGUAUAGGAGCUGACGCCUGCCCGGUGCUGGAAGGUUAAGGGGAUCUGUUAGGGUAACCGAAGCAGUGAACUUAAGCCCCAGUAAACGGCGGCCGUAACCAUAACGGUCCUAAGGUAGCGAAAUUCCUUGUCGGGUAAGUUCCGACCCGCACGAAAGGCGUAACGAUUUGGGCACUGUCUCAACAACAGACUGGGUGAAAUUGUAAUACCGGUGAAGAUGCCGGUUACCUGCGACAGGACGGAAAGACCCCAUGGAGCUUUACUGUAGCUUGACAUUGAGUCUCGGUGCUACAUGUACAGGAUAGGUGGGAGGCUAUGAAGCAUGGACGUCAGUUUGUGUGGAGCCAUCCUUGGGAUACCACCCUUGUAGUACUGGGAUUCUAACCAGCUGCCUUGAAUCAGGUAGUAGGACACUGUCAGGUGGACAGUUUGACUGGGGCGGUCGCCUCCUAAAGAGUAACGGAGGCGCUCAAAGGUUCUCUCAGUACGGUCGGAAAUCGUACGUAGAGUGUAAAGGCAGAAGAGAGCUUGAUUGCAAGACAUACAGGUCGAGCAAGGACGAAAGUCGGACUUAGUGAUCCGGUGGUACCGCAUGGAAGGGCCAUCGCUCAACGGAUAAAAGCUACCCUGGGGAUAACAGGCUGAUCUCCCCCAAGAGUCCACAUCGACGGGGAGGUUUGGCACCUCGAUGUCGGCUCAUCACAUCCUGGGGCUGUAGUAGGUCCCAAGGGUUGGGCUGUUCGCCCAUUAAAGUGGUACGCGAGCUGGGUUCAGAACGUCGUGAGACAGUUCGGUCCCUAUCCGUCGCAGGCGUAGGAAAUUUGAGGAGACCUGUCCUUAGUACGAGAGGACCGGGAUGGACGUACCGCUGGUGUACCAGUUGUUCUGCCAAGGGCAUAGCUGGGUAGCUAAGUACGGAAAGGAUAAGCGCUGAAAGCAUCUAAGCGCGAAGCCUACUUCGAGAUAAGAUUUCCCACCGCAAGGUUAAGACCCCAUGAAGACUACAUGGUUGAUAGGUCAGAGGUGGAAGUGUGGUAACAUAUGUAGCUUACUGAUACUAAUAGGUCGAGGACUUGACC
rnacentral:rRNA from 1 species